CACGCUUGCAACACCAGGGCUGUACGGCGGGUCCGCAGCUGGGUCUGCGCCUGGGACUCGGGGCUCCCUGCGCUCCUCGUGCCGCACCCCUUGCCUUAACCCCAAGCGGACGGGUCCUGGGGCUUCACCGGCCAGGCCGGAGCCCCAGCCCCACAACUCCCCCCCUCCCACCGCACUGCCCCCUCUGCGCUGUGGCGGGAGUUGGGGACUGGGGCCGGAGAAAGGAGACGCGCCGGUCCUCAAGUCUCUUGAGCCAUUUCGGUUCCGGGCGCGCCCCCCAGGGCUGCAGUCGCGCGAGGUUCCAGAUAGUGCAGCUGUGUGGCGCCAGGCUUCCAGCGGGUUCUUGGCCAUAUUCUGCUGAUGGAGAAAUGGGAUCUCACCCAAGGAAAGUGACUUGCCAGGGUUACACCACUGUUCUGGAUGUAAGAAGUCCAAAAUGUGUCUCACUGGGCUAAAAUCAAGGUGUCAGCAGGACUGUUCCUUCUGGAGGCUCUGGGGGAGACUGUUUCCUUGACUUCUCCAGGUUUUCGAGGCCACCUGCAUUCCUUGGUCUGCGGCCCCUUCUCCAUCUUCAAAGCUAUCAGUGACCAGCCGAGUCUUUCUCACAUUGAAUCACUGCCACCUCUGCUUCUGUGGACACAUCUCCUUCUUUCCCUAACACUGUUUUCUCCCCAUCUCAAGAAUCUUAAUAUAAUUAUAUCUUUAAAGUUCCUUUUGCCUUGUAAGGUAGCCGUUUCACAGGUUCCAGGGAUUAACACCUGGACAUCUUUGAGUCGGAGGGAGCAUUUAUCAAAAAACAAAAACCCUAGGGCCUCAAACAAAACAUUUUUAAAAGAGAAAUAUAAAAGCUUCAACUCUUCUUCAAAUAAGUAACAUAGCAACUUUUUCUAUAAAUGUAAC
rnacentral:lncRNA from 10 species